rnacentral:rRNA from 1 species
GAUGAACGCUGGCGGCGUGCCUAAUACAUGCAAGUCGAGCGAACAGACGAGGAGCUUGCUCCUUUGACGUUAGCGGCGGACGGGUGAGUAACACGUAGGUAACCUACCUAUAAGACUGGGAUAACUUCGGGAAACCGGAGCUAAUACCGGAUAAUAUUUUGCACCGCAUGGUUCGAUAGUGAAAGAUGGCUUUGCUAUCACUUAUAGAUGGACCUGCGCCGUAUUGGCUAGUUGGUAAGGUAACGGCUUACCAAGGCUACGAUACGUAGCCGACCUGAGAGGGUGAUCGGCCACACUGGAACUUAGACACGGUCCAGACUCCUACGGGAGGCAGCAGUAGGGAAUCUUCCGCAAUGGGCGAAAGCCUGACGGAGCAACGCCGCGUGAGUGAUGAAGGUCUUCGGAUCGUAAAACUCUGUUAUUAGGGAAGAACAAACGUGUAAGUAACUGUGCACGUCUUGACGGUACCUAAUCAGAAAGCCACGGCUAACUACGUG